rnacentral:rRNA from 1 species
AGCGGCGGACGGGUGAGUAACGCGUGGGUAACCUGCCUCAUACAGGGGGAUAACAGUUAGAAAUGACUGCUAAUACCGCAUAAGACCACAGCACCGCAUGGUGCGGGGGUAAAAACUCCGGUGGUAUGAGGUGGACCCGCGUCUGAUUAGCUAGUUGGUAAGGUAACGGCUUACCAAGGCGACGAUCAGUAGCCGACCUGAGAGGGUGACCGGCCACAUUGGGACUGAGACACGGCCCAA